rnacentral:lncRNA from 1 species
UGAUGAAGACUCAAGUGAUGGUGAAGUAACCUUUGAAGAGUUGGCCACUACGUACAGAAAGGUGUGUAAACAGGUUGAAAGCCAGAAAAAGGUAAUAACUCAACUUGAGAAUGAGAAGGUAGAACACUUGGAAACCAUCUCCAAAUUAAAAACAGAAGCAGUGGUUCAUAAUGCCAAGCUAGAUGAAAGUCAACAAGUUGAAAGCCAGAAGAAAGUGAUAGUACAGCUGGAGAAUGAGAAGGCAGAGCAUGUGGAAAC